rnacentral:rRNA from 1 species
GACGAACGCUGGCGGCAUGCCUAAUACAUGCAAGUCGAGCGAACAGAUGAAGUGCUUGCACUUCUGACGUUAGCGGCGAACGGGUGAGUAACACGUAAGGAAUCUACCUAUAAGCGGGGGAUAACAUUCGGAAACGGAUGCUAAUACCGCAUAAUAUCUUCUUCCGCAUGGAAGAAGAUUGAAAGACGGCUCUGCUGUCACUUAUAGAUGACCUUGCGGUGCAUUAGUUGGUUGGUGGGGUAACGGCCUACCAAGACGAUGAUGCAUAGCCGGCCUGAGAGGGUGAUCGGCCACAUUGGGACUGAGACACGGCCCAAACUCCUACGGGAGUCAGCAGUAGGGAAUCUUCCGCAAUGGGCGAAAGCCUGACGGAGCAAUGCCGCGUGAGUGAAGAAGGCCUUCGGGUCGUAAAACUCUGUUAUAAGAGAAGAACAAAUUGUAGAGUAACUGCUACAGUCUUGACGGUAUCUUAUCAGAAAGCCACGGCUAACUACGUGCCAGCAGCCGCCGUAA